rnacentral:rRNA from 1 species
GACGAACGCUGGCGGCGUGCUUAACACAUGCAAGUCGAACGGAAAGGCCCUGCUUUUGUGGGGUGCUCGAGUGGCGCACGGGUGAGUAACACGUGAGUAACCUGCCCUUGACUUUGGGAUAACUUCAGGAAACUGGGGCUAAUACCGGAUAUGAGCUACUGCUGCAUGGUGGGGGUUGGAAAGUUUCGGCGGUUGGGGAUGGACUCGCGGCUUAUCAGCUUGUUGGUGGGGUAGUGGCUUACGAAGGCUGUGACGGGUAGCCGGCCUGAGAGGGUGACCGGCGUCAUUGGGACUGAGAUACGGCGCAGUCGGCUACGGGAGGCAGUAGGGGGGAGUAUGGCACAAUGGGCGGAAGCCUGAUGCAGCAACGCCGCGUGCGGGAUGACGGCCUUCGGGUUGUAAACCGCUUUCGCCUGUGACGAAGCGUGAGUGACGGUAAUUGGUAAAGAAGCACCGGCUAACUACGUG